rnacentral:rRNA from 1 species
UUUAUCAAAAACAUGGUCUUUUGUUAUUUAUAUAAGAUCUGUCCUGCCCAGUGAUUUAUUUUAAAUGGCUGCAGUAUUUUGACUGACAAAGGUAGCAUAAUCAUUUGUCUUUUAAUUGAAGAAUGGAAUGAAUGGAUGGAUGAGAAAUAUACUUUCUUUAUUUUAAUUUAUGAACUUAAUCUUUGAGUCAAAAAGCUUAAAUAUUAUUAUAAGACGAGAAGACCCUGUAGAGUUUUAUUUAUUUAAAUUUUUCAAUUUUUUUUCAAUUUAUUAAUUGAAAAGUUUAAAUAAAUUAUGUUGGGGUGACAAAAAAAAUAUAAUAACUUUUUUUACUUUUAACAUUUAUAUAUGUAAUUUUGAUCCUUUAUUAAAGAUAAUAAGAUUAAUCUACCUCAGGGAUAACAGCGUUAUUAUUUUGGAGAGUUCAUAUCGAUAAAAUAGAUUGCGACCUCGAUGUUGGAUUAAAAUAAGUUUCAGGAGCACAAUAUUGUUAACUAAGUCUGUUCGACUUUUAAAUUUUUACGUGAUCUGAGUUC